GUUGACCUCGGAUCAGGUAGGAAUACCCGCUGAACUUAAGCAUAUCAAUAAGCGAAGGAAAAGAAACCAACAGGGAUUGCCCUAGUAACGGCGAGUGAAGCGGCAACAGCUCAAAUUUGAAAUCUGCUU
rnacentral:rRNA from 1 species